AGAAACUUAGGAUAAUCCAUACCAAACCGGAGGCCUUCAAAGCCUUAAAUAAGAGUUAGACCCUCUUAGUUUCUG
rnacentral:tRNA from 1 species